UAUGCAGUUGUGUGUGUUUAACGGUUGGUUUGGAAGGAGUUAAUAUUGAGUGUGGCUAGUUUAUAUCCAGAUGGUGGACCAGUGGUUAGAUUCACCGGCAGCGUUUCAUAUGUUCGUUUGCCCUCAAAUUGUUUUUCCCUUAUCGGCAGGUUGGGGAUGGGGGAGAACGAGAACGAAGCAAGGUCAUUAGCUCAAUGGCAGCUAGAUCAGUAUAACUCCAGACAUCACGCCACCACCGACCCCUCGAGUGUACGAGUGAUUGGGAGGAAUGAAAGUGAGCGUGAAUGGAGGCAAGAGGAGGCAGAGUGGAAACUGAAUGCAGUGUGAUAAGAGACAGAAGGGAUGAAUAAGUGGAGUGUGUGACCGAGUUAGGGCACUAUGAAGACGUGUAAGGAAUGGUGGUGGUGGUGGAGAAACUAAGUUGAGACGAGUGAAAGGGUUUCAGCCAGUUUUAGGACGGACAGAGGAGGAAAUGGUGUUAGUGAGUUAGGGCUUAUUAUGGAUGAAAUGAAGACGUGAAGGGAAAGUGUGGUGUUGAAAAUGUGUAGAGACGAGUGAAAGGCAGUGAAGGUGUGUUUAGGGCAAUGUUGCGUUAGAUGUAGGGAUAAUUAGUAAACAAGGUAUUGCUGUUUUGUUAAUUUUGUCCAUUACAGGAGUUGACUAUCCGAAGGCCUGACUCGCAGCGGCAAUGAGCCUCGUGUACCUUGCAUUACCUACGCCACCGCCGCAAGAUGAGGGAAGAAGAGCUGUUUGGUAACCAUAUUAGGGCCCAUAUCACCCCCCGAAGCUCAUCAUGGGUGUAACCACCUAGAACCUGGGUAUCAUGGUGACACGUAGGAGUUGGUGAUCCAAAAGCCGCCCCACAGCCGCUACUGCUACUCGGAGGGUUUCUGCCUUGCAUCGGGCCUUCACUGCCGGCCCGCUAACACGUGCCGCCGUCGCCGCUACUGACAGGGAUUUCGCCUCGCUGCGGCCUGGCAAACACCUUCUACGUCGCCGCUAUUGACACUGAGGGACUUCGCCUCGCAGCGGCCUGGCAAACACCUGCUACAUCACCACUACCGCUGCCGCCGCCGUCCAGUGAGAGAUUCAUCUCUGACAUCCUGCCAUUCAACGCCUGCUGCCACCACCACCACCUCCUUAUGGUUCUGUCACUGUACUGAAGCUGUUGUCAUGAUUGAAUAAUAAAUUGUGAAGAAAU